AACGCGAAGAACCUUACCAGCCCUUGACAUCCCGAUCGCGGUUACCAGAGAUGGUUUCCUUCAGUUAGGCUGGAUCGGUGACAGGUGCUGCAUGGCUGUCGUCAGCUCGUGUCGUGAGAUGUUGGGUUAAGUCCCGCAACGAGCGCAACCCUCGCCCUUAGUUGCCAUCAUUCAGUUGGGCACUCUAAGGGGACUGCCGGUGAUAAGCCGAGAGGAAGGUGGGGAUGACGUCAAGUCCUCAUGGCCCUUACGGGCUGGGCUACACACGUGCUACAAUGGUGGUGACAGUGGGCAGCGAGACCGCGAGGUCGAGCUAAUCUCCAAAAGCCAUCUCAGUUCGGAUUGCACUCUGCAACUCGAGUGCAUGAAGUUGGAAUCGCUAGUAAUCGUGGAUCAGAAUGCCACGGUGAAUACGUUCCCGGGUCUUGUACACACGC
rnacentral:rRNA from 1 species